GCCUCUUGAUAAAAUAUAAGAGGUCCAGCCUGCCCAGUGACUCUGUUCAACGGCCGCGGUAUCCUAACCGUGCGAAGGUAGCGUAAUCACUUGUUCUUUAAAUGAGGACUAGUAUGAAUGGCACCACGAAGGUUACACUGUCUCCUUUUUCUAAUCAGUGAAACUAAUCCCCCCGUGAAGAAGCGGGGAUAGACCUAUAAGACGAGAAGACCCUAUGGAGCUUUAAACUAAAUAACAUUCGCUUCUAUUUAAUUUCACUUCAGAGUAAUUAACAUUUAUUUUAGCCCCCUGAUUAUUAGUUUUAGGUUGGGGUGACCGCGGAGUAAAAAAUAACCUCCACAUUGAAUGGGGAAGUACCCCUGAACUAUGAGCUACAACUCUAAGCACCAAUAAAUUGACAUUAAUUGACCCAAUAAAUUGAUCAACGAACCAAGUUACCCUAGGGAUAACAGCGCAAUCCGCUUUAAGAGCUCCUAUCGACAAGCGGGUUUACGACCUCGAUGUUGGAUCAGGGUAUCCCAGUGGUGCAGCCGCUACUAAAGGUUCGUUUGUUCAACGAUUAAAACCCUACGUG
rnacentral:rRNA from 1 species